AGCUAUGACCUUCUCCACUCUUAACUUUUAACUCGUGUAAAAGGGUUUUUGAACAGGUUUUUCCUACAUAUACUAAACCAGGCAAUAGAGUAUGCUUAAUUAUACUGUUGUAGAUGUUACUGUUCAAGAUAGCAAAAUAAAAUAAAAUAAAAAAUAAUACACAUGAAGAGGUAUAAAUUUAAUGAGUAAUUGCAUGGGAUGACAGAGAUUACGUUUUAAAAUAGUUUUUACUGAAAAUAUUAUUUUUAAAAACGAUUCAAAAACAAUUUUAAGUAUAGAAAUUAUUUUACAUGGUUCAAAAAGUUUUAAAAAAUAAUUGAAGUAUAGUUACAAAAAUUUAACUAAAUAAUCAUCCCACCAAGAUACAAUGACCAUCACUGCUGGCCUGCAUCAAUGUUUUCACCAGCUACAGAUUGUUGUCCCAUAUCUCCACCAGCCCCAUACUGUUAGGAACAAAGUGAAAGGCACAAAAAGUGAAAGGCUGUAGUGUUGAGUGUUUGAACAAUUACCUUAAUCCUCUACCCAGCAGCAGGAAUGAAUUUUAUCACCGACAUAUUAAACUGUUUCUCUUGACAAGACCUGGUUUAGCCUCAAAUCUAUAGCAUAGCUGCUCCUAUUAUAGCUGUGAAACUACAAGUAAUGCUAUUGAUUCUUUUAUGGAUAGUUUGCUAAUGAUGUUGGGUACUGAAUCUUGACUUGAAUUUGCCAUCUUUUUGUGUUCAAAGUUGUAACUUUUCUUUAGAAGGAAACUAUUUUUUUAUAAUAUAUAUAUUUUAUAAAUAAUUAAGUUUAAAAGAUUAUUUCUUUAUCUCCGCAUUAAAAAGAAAUUUUUUUUUUAACUUAAAGUAUUUAAACAAAAAGAAGAUUUUUAUUCCACAUAAAAAAUAUAAUUUUUAUUUUGUGUGAAUUUAGAGUAUAUAUAUUAAUACCAUUAAUAUAUUCUAUGUUUAUAAAAAGAAAAUUGUAUUUUUUCAACGUAGAAUAAAUUUGUUUUUUGAUCUAAUAAGCUUCGAAUUUUAUAUUGAUAUUUUUUUAAACUGAGAUAAAAAAAUAUUUUUAGUUUAAUAAGUUUUUAAUUUUAUAUUAAAAAAAUAAAAUAUUUUUUUUAUAGUAAAUUCUAAUAUAAACGAGUAACUAAUAAAAAAAGAAGAUGGUAGCCUUGUGCGCUCGACGUCGGGUCAAGCAAUAGAAAAACAUUUAAUUGUUUUUUGAACCUUUUGUCUGUCUUUGGUAGUGAUUUGUUUCUGCGUUGAAUUUCCCUCACUAUUUUGAUCUUUAAGCUCUUACAGAUGAGACUGUUCCAAGGUGUUUUUGGACAAUCGAUACUCUUAUCGUUCACUUCAAAGUUCAAACCAUCUGGUUUCUACAAAAGACUCCCCGACACAUAAUGCAUGACAAACCAUGCAAGACUAGUCAAAAAGCCGGCACCAUCACCCACAAAAGGUGACCCGCCAAAUCUCACUUACAGGCUAAAGCAGCAUUCAUGGCAUUAUCCAUGAGGGUAGAGGAGCUAGUGGCAGUCAGCGAAUACAAAAGAAAGCAGCACUAGCACAUUUGAAGAUGCUCACAUUUUCCGCAACUCUCUUUCAGCCACAGCCUCCCCCAGGUAAUCAACAUGACCACUUGGUUUCAGAACUGCAAGCUAUUAGCAGCAAAACUAAUUAACUCACAUUUACCUAGCUGCAAGCUAUUCAGCAGCGAAACUAAGCAUGUUGAGAUGCGACACAUGCUUUUUCAUCUUUAACUCAGAUUUACCUUUCAAUAACACGUCGGCUAUUUCUAAAUUCACCAGGAUCCAUGCCCGUAUUGCAUUCAUUCGAUCUUCCUCCUUGCUGUUUUCUAAAUCCUUCUUGUUUUGGUCCAUUAAAAUUCCGUGAAUCACCACCUGCACCAUUCAUUUUCCACCCAGAACAGUCAGUGCCUUGAAAUCCACUAUUUUUACCAUGGGCACCAGGUGACGAUCUACCAAAAUCAUCACCCCAAGACUUUCUUCUAUCACCCAUCUUACCCUUGGAUCUCAUCUCAUUGUUUCUCACAAAGUCAUGAUCACGACCCCUAAAAUGGUUACCUCUUCUACCAGAUUCCAAUUUGUUACCUCCACUUCUAUUUCUCCAAGAACGUCGAUGAUUGUUAUCAGAUUCUGAACCAGAAAAGGAAGCAUCAUCCAAAUCAGAAUUUCUCUCAAAAUUCCUUCUACCUGAACCCUUUCUACCCUGUCUCCUAUGGCUGGAGCCAGAAUCAUCAUCCACAUCAGAAUCAAGCUCAAGUUCUUCAUCUGACCCAAAACUUAAUCCCUUGGAAGGACCUGUUGGAACUCCACCUCUAUUUUUGUUUCUAAUAUCAGCGACAUGACUGGAUUUCCAUUUUGGAUGAACAGAGCGCUCUUCAUCUGAAUCGAUAUCCAGUUCGUCAUCAGAGCCAGAGAAAGCUCUUCUGUGAUGCUUGGGCUUUGAUGGCUUAACAGAAGGACUUGUCCUGAGUCGUAUGCCCAAGUUGUAAUCAGAACCUCCAUCUCCUUCCAAAUCAGAAAUCCCUUGGUCAGAAAAAUUGUUUUGAGAAGCCUUCCGUGCAGGUUUAUCAUUUUGGGUAUCUAGUUCAUAACUGUCAAUAUCAUCUUCAUCAUCAAAAUCAUCAAACCCCCUUCCAAAUCCAUCAUGCUCAGGAACAGAAUAUGCCCUUGAAAUUCUUCUGGGUCCACUGAAAUCAUCUGUAUUCUGUCCAGAAUUUCCUUCCUGAGUUUGAAUCCCCAGAGGCACUGGAAACUUCUGGGUGGCUGACAAUCUUCUCCGACCUUGUUCUGCUACCAUGCUGCCUUUCUUCCAUUUUAUUUUCCAUGAAUGUAUCUGGUGGACGCUUGCAAUCACAAUGGAAACAAGCCAUGUUUCUCCUAUAA